UAGCAAGAAAGUCGACGUCUCGGGAGGUGU
rnacentral:piRNA from 1 species